rnacentral:tRNA from 1 species
GGGUGUGUAGCUCAGUGGUAGACAGUGUACUUAGCAUGCACGAGACCCUGGGUUCAAUCCCCAGUACCUCCA